GACGUAGGGCGCGAGCGUUGUCCGGAUUUAUUGGGCGUAAAGAGCUCGUAGGCGGCUUGUCGCGUCGUCCGUGAAAACUUGGGGCUCAACCCCAAGCUUGCGGUCGAUACGGGCAGGCUAGAGUUCGGUAGGGGAGACUGGAAUUCCUGGUGUAGCGGUGGAAUGCGCAGAUAUCAGGAGGAACACCGAUGGCGAAGGCAGAUCUCUGGGCCGUAACUGACGCUGAGGAGCGAAAGCAUGGGGAGCGAACAGG
rnacentral:rRNA from 1 species